UACGAAGGGGGCUAGCGUUGUUCGGAAUUACUGGGCGUAAAGCGCGCGCAGGCGGCUAUCCAAGUCAGUGGUGAAAGCCCGGAGCUCAACUCCGGAACUGCCAUUGAAACUGUUUAGCUUGAGGAUGAGAGAGGUGAGUGGAAUUCCCAGUGUAGAGGUGAAAUUCGUAGAUAUUCGCAAGAACACCAGUGGCGAAGGCGGCUCACUGGCCCGGUACUGACGCUGAGGCACGAAAGCGUGGGGAGCAAACAGG
rnacentral:rRNA from 1 species